AAAUUUGAAAUCUGGCGGUCUCUGGCUGUCCGAGUUGUAAUCUAGAGAAGUGUUACCUGCGCUGGACCGUGUACAAGUCUCCUGGAACGGAGCGUCAUAGAGGGUGAGAAUCCCGUCUCUGACACGGACUACCAGGGCUUUGUGGUAUGCUCUCGAAGAGUCGAGUUGUUUGGGAAUGCAGCUCAAAAUGGGUGGUAAACUCCAUCUAAAGCUAAAUACUGGCGAGAGACCGAUAGUGAACAAGUACCGUGAGGGAAAGAUGAAAAGAACUUUGGAAAGAGAGUUAAACAGUACGUGAAAUUGCUGAAAGGGAAACGCUUGAAGUCAGUCGCGUUGGCCGGGGAUCAACCUCAUUUGUUUGUGUGGUGUAUUUUCUGGUUGACGGGUCAGCAUCAAUUUUGACCACUGGAGAAAGGCUUGAGGAAUGUGGCAGCCCUGGCUGUGUUAUAGCUUCUUGUCAGAUACGGUGGUUGGGAUUGAGGUAUGCAGCACGCCGCAAGGCCGGGGCAUUAGCCCACGUCCGUGCUUAGGAUGUUGACAUAAUGGCUUUAAGCGACCCGUCUUGAAACACGGACCAAGGAGUCUAACAUGCCUGCGAGUGUUUGGGUGGAAAACCCGUGCGCGCAAUGAAAGUGAAAGUUGAGAUCCCUGUCGUGGGGAGCAUCGACGCCCGGACCUGAACUUUUGGGAUGGAUCUGCGGUAGAGCAUGUAUGUUGGGACCCGAAAGAUGGUGAACUAUGCCUGAAUAGGGCGAAGCCAGAGGAAACUCUGGUGGAGGCUCGUAGCGAUUCUGA
rnacentral:rRNA from 1 species